rnacentral:rRNA from 1 species
AAGGGAAUCUUCGGCAAUGGACGAAAGUCUGACCGAGCAACGCCGCGUGAGUGAAGAAGGUUUUCGGAUCGUAAAACUCUGUUGUUAGAGAAGAACAAGGACGUUAGUAACUGAACGUCCCCUGACGGUAUCUAACCAGAAAGCCACGGCUAACUACGGGCCAGCAGCCGCGGUAAUACAAAA